ACCUCGGAUCAGGUAGGGAUACCCGCUGAACUUAAGCAUAUCAAUAAGCGGAGGAAAAGAAACCAACCGGGAUUGCCUCAGUAACGGCGAGUGAAGCGGCAAGAGCUCAAAUUUGAAAGCUGGCCCCUUCGGGGUCCGCAUUGUAAUUUGCAGAGGAUGCUUCGGGUGCAGCCCCCGUCUAAGUGCCCUGGAAUGGGCCGUCAGAGAGGGUGAGAAUCCCGUCUGGGAUGGGGUGCCUGUGCCCGUGUGAAGCUCCUUCGACGAGUCGAGUUGUUUGGGAAUGCAGCUCUAAAUGGGGUGGUAAAUUUCAUCUAAAGCUAAAUAUUGGCCGGAGACCGAUAGCGCACAAGUAGAGUGAUCGAAAGAUGAAAAGCACUUUGAAAAGAGAGUUAAACAGCACGUGAAAUUGUUGAAAGGGAAGCGCUUGCGACCAGACUCGCCUCCGGGGUUC
rnacentral:rRNA from 1 species